UACAGAGGUCUCAAGCGUUGUUCGGAUUCAUUGGGCGUAAAGGGUGCGUAGGCGGCGCGGUAAGUCGGGUGUGAAAUCUCGGGGCUUAACUCCGGGCCUGCAGUGGGUACGGGCAGACUAGAGUGCGGUAGGGGAGACUGGAAUUCCUGGUGUAGCGGUGAAAUGCGCAGAUAUCAGGAGGAACACCGGUGGCGAAGGCGGGUCUCUGGGCCGUAACUGACGCUGAGGAGCGAAAGCGUGGGGAGCGAACAGG
rnacentral:rRNA from 1 species